UCUCGAUAGCGUAAAAGUUAACUCAAAUUUAUAGGGAAUUGGAACGUUUGCGGCUAGGGGCGCUGUUCCAAUUGCAUACAAAUUUGAGUUAACUUUUACGCUAUCGA
rnacentral:pre_miRNA from 9 species